UAGCAAAAGAAAGUUCAUUUGUUUGAAUCGGCGAAGGUGAUCAAGAUGCCGUGAAAGAGAAUCCUUCAGUGGUUUACAAGGUCUGAAAACACAACGUUACAUAUCCUUUCUCGUCAUGAUGGGAAAGGUUUUUUGUUUUUUAGGAGCACAGAGCAAAAACUUUGAACAGCAACAGCUCUUCUUUCCAGCUUAUGUUCAAGCGUUUUCGUACUGAGGGAUAAGCGGCGGCAGGCGAGGCAAAGAAGACAGCAAAUAAAUGUCAACCCGCCGCGCCACUUUAGGAGCAGCAGUCAUGAUCGAACAUAUCUGAGUACGAAUGAAUUCCCUUGUGCUGUUAUACAUGCAUGUGACUGACGAGAACCCACCAAGAAAUGGUCCUGUAUUUAAAACUGGGGACAGAGUGAAAUCCAGAUCAUCUCUAACGAAUUAAGCAUGACAUAGAUUCUUUGCUGAACUGACUUGGCACUUCUGCUUGCUGGGAGGAGUACUCGGACUGAUGAGGUACCCCAACAAAUGUCAUGUCAUUGGCGACCAUCUUUUGAUCAUCAGUACAUGUGAAGUCUCUGAGCUUGAAUGGAGUGCGCCGAGUUUGGCUCUCGGCGAAGAGCGUUCUAUUCUGAGGCGAGUACAACAGAGCUUCACAGCUCGUGUUAGGUGACGUUUGCAGCGUCAUUGAUACAUAAUCCAUCGUAUUACCACGGUUUCUCUUAACUGAAGCGAGGUUAUGAACAUAUCCGAUUAUGAUUUCCUCUGACUUUCGUUUCGAUUGUCACUUUUUGGCGCUUGAUGUAGAAGACGUCGAAGAUGACAUGAGUUAACAGGUAUGUAACAGUCGGUACCAUCACGAUGUAGAUACCGUGGGCAGUUCAAAAGUGAGAAUGACAGCUUAGACACCGAGCUAUUUAUACUCUUUUUUAUCCCUCUUUAUACUCUUUGCUUGGGAGAGUUGUCACCUUUUGGGAUAAAGUUCUGAUUGGACAAAUAUAUAUGCGUACGUCUGGGAAAACAGGACUGUUCUGAUGGUGGCUUUAAUUUGUAUUAUCAUUAGUUGGUUCUACAGUGUGACUUUGAAAAAUGAUUGGACGUCCUGCUAGAAAUUAUAAGUUGAUUUUAAAUGUUAUGGCUGAUUGUAGUUUGAACGGAACCAUGAUCUGAAUAAUAUUAUAGACACUAUUGACUUCAUUUUGCACUUUAUUGGAAAGAAAUUGAUUAACAUAAACUUGAUUUAAAAGACUUCCUGCUGAUACAAAGGUUGGUUUGUUUAUAAUUUGAAUACAUCCUCAAGAAUUCAUCAGUUGCUUCAGGGACACUAUACCAAAUUCAUCAAAGUAAUUGAUAUUGAAGUCUCCAAAGAUUAUGUCCAUGAUAGGAGUUCGCAGAAUGUUCUUGAGACUAUCAGCAGACUGUGUAGUAAUAGUACUUUUUUUUCAAUAUAUCAAAAGGAAUGAUGUCAUUUCGCCUGUGUUGGAGUUGAAUACAUUAAACUUUAAACCAUU